AGUCGAAUUGCUAGGACAUAUGGUAAGUUUAUGUUUAACUUUUAAAGAAACUUAACUGUUUUCCAAAGUGACUGUACCAUUUUACACUCUCAUCAGCAAU
rnacentral:pre_miRNA from 1 species